rnacentral:rRNA from 1 species
UGAGGAACCCACCCUGGAGACCGGGAUAACCCUCCGAAAGGAGAGCUAAUACCGGAUGUCCUCCUCGGAUCGCAUGAUCUGAUGAGGAAAUGGAUUCCGCUCCAGGACGGCCUCGCGGCCUAUCAGCUAGUUGGUGAGGUAACGGCCCACCAAGGCGACGACGGGUAGCCGGCCUGAGAGGGCGUCCGGCCACACUGGGACUGAGACACGGCCCAGACUCCGUACGGGAGCAGNAG